AACGCAUCUUGCGCCCCUUGGUAUUCCGAGGAGCAUGCCUGUUUCAGUGUCACGAAAACCCUCACACUUGCGAUGUAACAAUUUCAAGUUGUGGACUUGGACAGUGCCGUAGUGGGCUCGUCCUGAAAUGCAUUAGCUUGUGCUUAUUAGAGUGCCUGGCAUUGGUGUGAUAAUUAUCUGCGCCUUUGCCCAAUACCUCUUCCAAAGUGCUGCUUCUAAUCGUCCAUUUGGACAACAUUUCAAACUUUGGCCUGAAAUCAGGUAGGACUACCCGCUGAACUUAA
rnacentral:misc_RNA from 1 species